UAAUACGUAGGCAGCAAGCGUUGUUCGGAGUUACUGGGCGUAAAGGGUGCGUAGGCGGUUUGCUAAGUUUGGUGUGAAAUCUCCCGGCUUAACUGGGAGGGUGCGCCGAAGACUGGCAAGCUCGAGUGGGGGAGAGGAGAGUGGAAUUCCUGGUGUAGCGGUGAAAUGCGUAGAUAUCAGGAGGAACACCGGUGGUGUAGACGGCUCUCUGGACCCUAACUGACGCUGAGGCACGAAAGCGUGGGUAGCAAACAGGAUUAGAUACCCUGGUAGUCCACGCCCUAAACGAUGCACAUUUGGUGUGGGUCAUUCAGUUGAUCCGUGCCGGAGCUAACGCGUUAAAUGUGCCGCCUGGGGAGUACGGUCGCAAGGCU
rnacentral:rRNA from 1 species